rnacentral:tRNA from 2 species
GCUGCUAUGGCUCAGUUGGUAGAGCGCGUCCUUGGUAAGGACGAGGUCGGCGGUUCAAAUCCGCCUAGUAGCUCCA